CUCCACGAAGUUGGAUUCGCUAGUAAUCGCGCAUCAGCCAUGGCGCGGUGAAUACGUUCCCGGGCCUUGUACACACCGCCCGUCAAGCCAUGGGAGCCGGGGGCGCCUGAAGUCCGGGACCGCGAGGACCGGCCUAGGGCGAAACUGGUAACUGGGGCUAAGUCGUAACAAGGUAGC
rnacentral:rRNA from 1 species